CAUUAUUGUUUCGAGAGCUAUCCACGGAGACACUCUUUCAACUUUUAUCUUACAACAAUACAUACUUUGAAUAUUGAGUUGUUUACGAAAACAACAGGCACUUUUGAGUUAUCAUUUUCAUCAAAAGGAAUUUCCAAAGAGAAGGGCACUUUGAGCAUCUGAAAACUCAAACAUGCUUGUGCAGUUGAAGAAUGGGAUACAACUUUCCUUGAGUGUUUGUUUUCCUGUGACAGGUUACAGCCGAUUUAUGGCGAGACAAAACUCACACCAGAUAAUUGUUAUAUAACCUUCUGAAAUACUUGGUUGGGAUGGAACCAUAUAUGCUUAGAAAGUACAUCAUUGUCGGCGGAGGAGGCGCGUCGAAGACCAGGCAGUGGAGUAUGUUCGUGAUGUGUCCAUAGUAGCAUGUUCGUAGAUGUGUCCAGGUAGGUGUGGUCAUAGUAGUGCGUACAUAGAAAAGUAUCCAUAAUAGUGUGUUAAAGUGUGUCAAUUAAAAUGUAUCUACAUGAGUACAUCCACAUGAGUGUAUCUAUUUUCUUUUUUGAAAUCGCUGCAGCUUACUCUACACAGGCUGUUGUUUGGCUAGUUUCUUCCGGUUGUUGUUUGGUUUGUUAGUACAGUGGUAAUUGUUUGUGCUC